UACAGAGGUCUCAAGCGUUGUUCGGAUUCAUUGGGCGUAAAGGGCGCGUAGGCGGCGGGGUAAGUCGGGUGUGAAAUCUCAGAGCUCAACUCUGAAAUGGCACUUGAUACUGCUCUGCUAGAGGACUGGAGAGGAGAUUGGAAUUCACGGUGUAGCAGUGAAAUGCGUAGAUAUCGUGAGGAAGACCGGUGGCGAAGGCGGAUCUCUGGACAGUUCCUGACGCUGAGGCACGAAGGCCAGGGGAGCAAACGGG
rnacentral:rRNA from 1 species